rnacentral:rRNA from 1 species
CCUACGGGAGGCAGCAGUGAGGAAUAUUGGUCAAUGGACGAGCGUCCGAACCAGCCAAGUAGCGUGAAGGAUGACUGCCCUAUGGGUUGUAAACUUCUUUUAUAUAGGAAUAAAACGAGCCACGUGUGCCUUUUUGUAUGUACUUUAUGAAUAAGGAUCGGCUAACUCCGUGCCAGCAGCCGCGGUAAUACGGAGGAUCCGAGCGUUAUCCGGAUUUAUUGGGUUUAAAGGGAGCGUAGAUGGGUUGUUAAGUCAGUUGUGAAAGUUUGCGGCUCAACCGUAAAAUUGCAAUUGAUACUGGCAGUCUUGAGUACAGUAGAGGUGGGCGGAAUUCGUGGUGUAGCGGUGAAAUGCUUAGAUAUCACGAAGAACCCCGAUUGCGAAGGCAGCUUACUAAACUGUGACUGACAUUGAGGCUCGAAAGUGUGGGUAUCAAACAGGAUUAGAUACCCCUGUAGUC